GCAGCCCAGAGGCCUCGCACUCCUUCCCAGACGGGAGCUGUGGCCCCUCCUCGACCCUCCCUCGGAGGAAAGGCCGGUGGCUCCGCCUCUUUCUCGCCCCAGAAGAGCCACGUGGCCCCGCCCCUCGCUCCCAGAGGAUAGUCCUGCGGCCCCGCCCCUCCCUCUCCACAGAGACGGAGGCGCGGUCCGUCUGCGGGGCUGGAGAAGCCCUCGCCCCAGCCCUCUGGGGGACGCAGGCCCUUUCCCAAUCGCUCUUUGCGGGAUGCACAGGUGCCGUGUGGGUGUCUGUCUCCUCUGGGGGAAAGCAAAACCCUCUUCAGUCUCCCUCUCUCUUCCUCUCUGCGGGGAUGCACAACCCUUGCCGCCCGCCUCGGCCUCGUCCGCGCCAUGGCAGCACGCCAGAUGCAGGGGCGACCAUGAGGACUGGCCAGCGGCUCGCGCAGUGCGCACAGCGUCCAGCCGUAGACGGGCAACCAGCCGACCCGCACACCCGCGCCCGCAGCUUUCACCUAAAGCGUCAAGCCGAAGCAACUGCUGGGCGCAGGCCCGCCUACCUCCAUUACUUCCGGCUCCGCGCCUAGGCCUACGCGAAUGGCGCACGCCUCCCCCGCGCCGUCCGGGCCGCUGGCGCUCCCAUGACGCCACUUCCGGCCUUGCGGGGCUCCGGCGCGAGACUUCCGCUCUCGCGAGAGGGAGAAGCGUUGGGAGGCGGUCAGGGUGGUCGGUGCUGCAGCGGCCCCGCCUUCCUGCGGAGCGGAGCGGAAUGGAGAAGCGAGGUCGAGGCGCCAAGCCAUCCCCCAGCCCGGUCCCUCCUGCGCAGCAGUCGCCGGGCCCCCGGAGGGAUCGGAGACCGAGCAUGUUCGAGAAGGAGGCAGUGAGUGCCGCCCGCCCCGCCGGUCCUCCUCGUGCCGGGAGCGCCCUGGCCCGCGCGCCCGACCUGCCCGGGCGGUUCCCACCUCUGAGUUAGCCGCUUUGCACAGAAGCGCGCCGUCGCCGGCCCAGAUGAGCAUAUGUGUACCGUAGGUACAUGGGGAAAAGCUGGUAGGAGAGACGUUUGGAGUGCUUAAGAAUUAGCAGCCUCAGAAUGGAAGGUUUAUGCAGGGAAUGAAAUUGGAUAUUUUCUGCUAGCUUGAUAUUAAUGGGAGCGUUCGUCAACUUUCAUUAGUGGUAAAAUACAGUAUUUCCAUAUGAAUGGAUUUUGAAAAUCAUUAAUAUAGUUAGUUUAUUGAGACUUGGAGGGGGAAAAAAAUGCUCAAGGAUACAAGACGUUAAUGAUAGAACUACAACCAGAACCUGUGUCCUGGAACUCCUGUAGUGGUUUCUCAUCACACCUACAUCAUAGAACCCAUCAUCAGUAGGAUUAAUAUGUAAAUACAAGGCAGAACACAAAAGUUCAAGAUCAUUCCCAAGUUAAAAACAAAAAAGUGAGAACUCACACACACAAACUCCCCCCAAAAAUGCUAAGCCAGCAUUGCAAUUUCUAAUGUCUGCUUGGUGGCUACCUUUUGCAAAGGAAGGAACAAAUUAAUAGAAGAAAAGUAAGUAGGCCACAUUCACACAGAAGUAAGACAAAGCAGAACAAAGCUGGGAAUCUAAUUGUGUUGCAUUUAAAACUAGAUGUUCCCAAACUCUGCCUAUUGAAAACUUCCUAUACUGCAGACAAGAGUGACUGCUGUAAACUUAUUGCCUACUAAAAUUGAAAUUUGAAUGAGUCUCGAUUCAAGAUGAGAAGACACGGAGCUAUACUUGUAUAUAGGCUAACCUCAGAAUGAGGAGGACAUGUACCAAAGCAGCGUAUGUUGUAGUGGCACCCCCUCCUCCACCAGUGCAUCUUAAUUAAGCUUCUCUAGAGACCCUCAUCACAAUUGUUCUUAUUAACAAAAUAUCAGCAAAGAUCUCUGCAAAAGGGCUCCUAUUUCCUCUUGCCCUGCUUGGUCUUGCAAAAAACUAAAUUUAACUGUGGACUUGAUGGCUGUUACUCUGCUUUUGUGGUAUAACCUGUUAAAAUCUCUGACUGUUCCAAGAACUGGGAUGAAAAGCAGUUUCUGAGAACUCAAAGAAAAAAAUAUAUAUACUUUUAUGUAGACUUCUGCAAAAAUGUAAACCUCCCAGCCGCCCCCCGCAAAAAAAGAAACUGGGUAUAAAGUCCAAAGAAUUGCUAGACUUGGGAUCUAGAGGAGAAUUUCAUGCAUGAGCCACACUCAGGAUCGGCUAGCUGCAGUCAAUAAACCUGCUUUCUGAAAAUUCCUUGGGUGUUCAGCGUCUUCUGUCCU
rnacentral:lncRNA from 1 species